rnacentral:rRNA from 1 species
GACGAACGCUGGCGGCGUGCCUAAUACAUGCAAGUCGAACGAGAGCGACCGGUGCUUGCACUGGUCAAUCUAGUGGCGAACGGGUGAGUAACACGUGGGUAACCUGCCCAUCAGAGGGGGAUAACAUCCGGAAACGGAUGCUAAAACCGCAUAGGUCUUCGAGCCGCAUGGCUUGAAGAGGAAAAGAGGCGCAAGCUUCUGCUGAUGGAUGGACCCGCGGUGCAUUAGCUAGUUGGUGGGGUAACGGCUCACCAAGGCCGUGAUGCAUAGCCGACCUGAGAGGGUGAUCGGCCACAUUGGGACUGAGACACGGCCCAAACUCCUACGGGAGGCAGCAGUAGGGAAUCUUCCGCAAUGGACGCAAGUCUGACGGAGCAACGCCGCGUGAGUGAAGAAGGUUUUCGGAUCGUAAAACUCUGUUGUUAGAGAAGAACAAGUGCUAGAGUAACUGUUAGCGCCUUGACGGUAUCUAACCAGAAAGCCACGGCUAACUACGUG